CCUACGGGAGGCAGCAGUAGGGAAUAUUGCUCAAUGGGGGAAACCCUGAAGCAGCAACGCCGCGUGGAGGAUGAAGGUUUUCGGAGUGUAAACUCCUUUUGAUAGAGAAGAGAAUGACGGUAUCUAACGAAUAAGCACAGGCUACCUCCGUGCCAGCAGCCGCGGUAAUACGGAGGGUGCAAGCGUUACUCGGAAUCACUGGGCGUAAAGAGCGCGUAGGCGGGAUAGCCAGUCAGAUGUGAAAUCCUAGGGCUUAACCAUAGAACUGCAUUUGAAACUGUUAUUCUAGAGUAUGGGAGAGGUAGGUGGACUUCUUGGUGUAGCGGUCAAAUCAGUA
rnacentral:rRNA from 1 species